rnacentral:rRNA from 1 species
CCUACGGGUGGCUGCAGUGGGGAAUAUUGGACAAUGGGCGAAAGCCUGAUCCAGCCAUGCCGCGUGUGUGAAGAAGGCCUUCGGGUUGUAAAGCACUUUCAGUGGGGAAGAAAGCCUUGGGGCUAAUACCCUCGAGGAAGGACAUCACCCACAGAAGAAGCACCGGCUAACUCCGUGCCAGCAGCCGCGGUAAUACGGAGGGUGCGAGCGUUAAUCGGAAUUACUGGGCGUAAAGCGCGCGUAGGCGGUCUGAUAAGCCGGUUGUGAAAGCCCCGGGCUCAACCUGGGAACGGCAUCCGGAACUGUCAGGCUAGAGUGCAGGAGAGGAAGGUAGAAUUCCCGGUGUAGCAGUGAAAUGCGUAGAGAUCGGGAGGAAUACCAGUGGCGAAGGCGGCCUUAUGGACUGACACUGACGCUGAGGUGCGAAAGCGUGGGUAGCAAACAGGAUUAGAUACCCCAGUAGUC